UUUUAGGACCAGCCUGUGAUAGUAGGAUGAAGUGGGGAGAAUAAAUUCCACCUCCACCUGAGGAACAGCAGGUAGGUAGUGGAGGCAUUUUUAGAGGUCAUCUUUGGAGAUUAGCUACCUCACUUGCUGAUUAGUGGUCUUGGCCUUAAUUGCUGUGGGAUCUAAAGGAUAGAUGACUCUCUGAUUUAGGUGACUGAGGAAAUUUUCAAAGAUUAGCUAAAACUUCUUCCUGAGUCAAAAAGGCUGAGCACAGAGGAAACAGUAGAAGAUAGUAGGGUGGGGGACAGUGGGGUGGAUUAUGGGAUUCUCCAUAGGAAGAAUAGCAUAUGCAAAAGUACACAGGUGAGAAAACAAAGUCAUUAGAUUAAUAAGAGUUUAAUAAAAAAUAUGAUCCAAAAUAAUGGUCAUCAUAAAGCCAUCAAUAGUGGCUUUCAUAUCCUGGAUCAAUACUAUUUCAAUUACUGUAGAAAGAACUAGUAAAAAUGCAUAGGAAGUAGAUGUUUUUAAAAGGCUGAUGCAAUUCUAAAUAGGGAGCAUAUCAUUUACUAACAGCAGACUCUUUAAAACUGAACCAGUAAUGGGCUUAGAUAUAAGACGGUGAAAUUUAUUUGGAAGAAUUUUCUUUUGGUUUCCAUCAUAUCUGAGAUUCUAUUCAGGUAGCUGGGCAAUGUCAGAGUAGUAAAGCAAGCUACUUGAAUAUAGGUCAAGUAAGAAAAGACAGGUGUGGACAUGGCUUGGGAGUUUUGCUUCCUGGAUAAUCCAGUUUGCAUCUUCAUAGCAACUCAGCUUAUAUUCGUCAGCACUAGGUGAAAACUGAUAGCUCAGAGAGUGAACAGUACAAAUGUCCUGAGAACAAAUAAGUCUCAACCUUAGGAUAUGUAUGCUGUGAGAUAAGAGUCUACUGUAAAUUCUUAAUAAGUCAAAUCAUUAUAACUGACCCCACUUGGAAAUUUAAAUAACAAAGUCAACUCCAUGUAUAUAAUAUAUAAUUCAUCUAUUUCUUUAACACCUUUAUAGAUUAGCUGCUAUGUGAAUAGCUCAUUACAAAUGAUGUAUAAACUAAUUUUUAGGAAGUUAUUAAUCUGGAACUUAUAUUCCUGUUUAUUCCAUGCAUUGGCACUAUUUCUGUGCUCUAGAUGAAUAUAAAUGUCUUCUACAAGAUAUUCCUAAUAUCAUCUGGAGAAACAGGCAUUUCCACUGACCAAGUCCUUUUUUUGCUCCCCAGAUUCUUUGAUUAUUAAUGUUAUGCUGAAGUUUUCAUUAUCCUCAUUCAUUCAUUUAGCAGACAUUCAUUGAGUUUUAUCUAUGAGUUAGACCCAGCGAAAGUGACUUUUGAACUGUGACCUAUAGUAUGAAAAGGAGUCAGUCUUGAGCUGAGCUGGUAAGAGAGAGUUCCAACACAAAGCACAAAGGCCCCAAAGAAGAAAUAAACCUAAUGUAUACAAGGAACAGAAAGAAAGCCUUACAGCAUGCUGAAGGAGAUGUGAGUUAGUUCACAUAAUGUGUGCCCUCUGAAGCUAUAGCGAGGAUUCUGAUUUUUUUUUUUUUUUUGAAAUUUAUUCUUUCUGAGUGGGAAGAGAGGGUACAUUGGAUUGAUCUGAGCAGGGAAGUGAUGUGAUCACAAUUUACCUUUUAUAGGGAUCUUUCUGAUUCUGGGUAGAGGAGAAACUAACGGGAACAUGGGUCAACAAGAUACCUGGAAGUUAUUACAAUAGUCCACAAUGAUGAGGGCAAUCUGGAUUAGGUACUACUGGUGUAAUUGCUGAGAAAUUAGAUGCUCUCUGCCCCUCACUCUUUUGUCAAUCCCAUCCUUGCUGUCCCACAUAUUCCUCCUUUCUUCUCAUUUCAGUGCAACAGUUGGCGAGUGCCUAUCUUGGACCUCAUAGCUCUUCACUUCUUUUGCCUCAAGCCCUCUUUUCUUUUCUACUUUACUUCUCUUGUUUCUAGCCCAUUUACCUCUCCGAUCUCUUGUUUUUUUCCAUCCCACUGCUUUCUGAUUUUUCCCUUUUUUCUCUCACUCUUCGUUUUUCUAUUUAUAGGCUUUAUAAAGGGCCUUCUUAUUCCCAUUCAUUGAUAGAUUAUCCUUCACUCCCUUGAGGAGGCACAUGAAGGGGCCAGUUUUUUCUAAUUUACCCAGCCUAGGAAAUUUAAAAUAUUCUGAUCAGGUAUAUCUUAUACAGGAGCCUAUAGAAUUAGGUCUCAUUGUAUCCUUGACUGGCACUGGAAAAGUCUCAAACUGUUGUGGCUCAUCAGAAGCUAUCAAUAAACAUGCAUGUCUUGAAACUGGAAGUAUCUGCAAUGUUAACUUAGUUUUGAUUUGGUUGUGCUUAAGAGUCUGGCAUGAUGCUGGGAAUGAGUGAGUGAAUCAGUGAAUGAAUGAAUGGAAAUAGAAACGGUGCAGAAGAGAGAAGGUUUUCUGGUCCACACAAACUGAUAGCUGUCUAUCCCUGCAUAUAUAGCUGAAAAAAAUUAUACCUUAAUAGUGGCUUUCAUAUCCUGGAUCAAUGCUUGGGACCUUGGUAGAUAAGUGUGCUAGGCAUUGUACCUUGCUCCUGAAACAAAAUGAUGUUCUUUCAAGGUCAACAUAUUCCAGACUUGGUUUCCAACUAUCUCUAUGUUUGUAUUUAUUGCUAUAAUAGUAGACCACUCUUGUUAUUCCUGUUCUUGAUGUUCAGAGGUAGUGACUCAGGAGCCAGUCAGAUCUCCCACUAAUAGUAAUAGAGUUGAUAGCAGAAGUUGGAGACCCACUAAGAGAGCAGAACCAGAGUAAAUACUGCAGUUGAGGUCUUGGAACUGGGCAUUUCUUGGGAAUGUCCACUGUCCAAAUUUCUGUGGCUAAUUCUGUCAUACAAAUCAUGUUUUUAGCUUCAUUAAAAUACUUUAAAGGCACAUAAUACUUAAUCAUAGGAAUUGGCAGUAGGGAAGUAUUUUACAUGAUGAGUAAAGUGCCACUGAUUGAUAGAAGAGUACAGAGUGCCUCGUGCUGAUGGGAGCACCCUGAUACUUCUGUGUGUCUAGGAUGGGGCUGUGGUUUGAUGCACUGGUUCUUAUUUUGACAAAGCCCCCAUGAGAUUAAUUAAUCGAAAUGUACAGUUUAACCUAUGUGCACACAUAGGUAAGGGUGAUCUGUUUUUGUAGGUGAAGGAACUCAGCAGUAUAUCAAUUAAAUUAAUUAAAUUUUAUUUUAUCUUUAGAUUCUAGGAUUUGAAGAGAAUCUAAGAUAAAAAAAAACGAUGCAGGGUCUGUGCAGAAAGAGGGGACAUGUGACUUGGGGAGAGGAGAGCCUUUGACCCAGACUUCUAUUAAUAAAUAGUUUCCCAUUUAUAUUGCUAUUUUUCAACUAACGUUAUAUAGAUGGCUACAGAAAUACAAUGUAAGGAGAAGGGAUGUGUCCUUUUAUGAAAACGUGCAUCCCCAAUGAACUGUUCACUGCUUUACAUAUUUAUCAAUUCAUCUUCUCCCUAGCCUCCUAUUGUAAAAGAAAAUGUCCACAGUUAGUUGCUAUGGAAUUGAACUAGUUUUGAGUUGCAGCUUUUUAAAAACCUUUUUUAAACCUUGGUAAAACAUUGUUAGUAGGCAAUUGGUAUCACUGUCUACUUAAGUUUUAAGAUGUGGCUCUUAAUAAACCAUUCUUUUGUAAUAUGUGGAGAUAGGGAGGGAGGGACAAACAAACCUAGUAAGAGCUUCUGCAGCAUUGCUAAACUCAGGUUGAAGAAGGUUACAGUUAAGUACCUUGCCAGAUAUUUUAGCCAGUGAGUCUGUUGUACCACAAAAUUGGGAUUGCUAGGAAUUCUUCUCAAAAACACUUAUAAUUUUAAGAAAUGUACUUUAAGUUUUGAUUUGUUUUGCAUAAGUAAACCACAUGCUAACACACCACUCACUUUUAGAGCACUAUCCAAACAUCACAAAGUCAGUUCCAAAGUCCAGACAAUUUCCAGUCCCUCUGUCAGAAAGCAAAUAACAACAAAAGACUUAUUCCAAACAUAAGUCAGCCAGAACCUUGGAGAACCUUCACAGUAACUUGCUUUGCACAAUAACUUCAGGAAAUUUUGUGAAUAACCCACAGUGGGGAGCACACAAUCCCAUAAUACUCAGAACAUAUUGCCCAAGUUAUACAUGAUGACAAGGUAAACAUUUGCUUAACAACUCUUUCAAAGGGGGAAGUGGUAUGAAAACCAAGGGAUACUCUCCCAUCUUUGAAACCCCAAAUUAGCUAUAGUCUUGGCUGUACCCAGCAGCCUUAGGUCUGAGCACUGCAAAUUAUAUCAUCUUUUGGUUCAAAGAAAACAGAAAUUUAACUUUUCUCCCAAAAUGCAUCUAAUUGUUAACCUGUUGGAAAAAAGGUAGGAAUAGGUAUGCAUAGAUGAUAGGUGCUUGUUUCUGGUUCUUUUGUAUUUCUUGGUGUGUAAGCAUUUGUCAGCGGGUUGCUAGUGAUUCUAUACCUAGAUACAACUCUUAUGUAUCCAUUUAGUACUUUCCUGCUGAAGAGCACAAGAUGAAUGAUCACUUGUGGAGUUUUCCAGCAUGGAUACAGUUCACAGUCAUUGUUAUGAUGCCAUAAAACCAUCGUACACAAACUUCACUUUAGUGGUUUUACACUUAGCUAUAACCCCACAUGCAAGGACCAUUAAAGUUAAAAUGUCCCUUGAGUUUCUUUCUAACAUUAAAUUUACUUCAAUUGCUAUAGAUGAAAACAAAGCAACAAAAAUGUACUGGUCUUAAACACUAUCCUUGAAUAAAAUAAAGCUAUAAUGAUGAGAUAUUUUAUCAUAGUGUUUAAGGAUUCCUUGCCGUGAUAUAUUGCACAAUGCACAUUGGGUGCAUAAAACAGGGAAUAGUAAUUAAUUUUACCUUGGAAGUAUGAUCCUAAAGUCCAGAAGAAGGUCAGAGUUGUGUGUGUACAAAAUCCAUAGAGUGUGGAAUGUCAGAAAUAUUUAUGUGACAAUUUGAAAAUAUUAUUCCUGAUUCUCAUAAUUACACUCCUCAGAGGAAAAGGGAAUCUGUAUAAGUCUGAAUAAAUAAACAACAGGAGAGGUUAGCUACUAACAUUAUAAAUGGACACACAUUGUAUACAGAAACUUAAAGAAGUUGGUUUUAUAUUAAGUGCAGAAGAAACAUCUUACAUUAUUUUGUUGUAUCUCAAUGAAAAAAAUUUUUUCUUUGAAAAAUAAUUAGCACUUAAGUGUUUGGCUUUUUAUGCUGGUUGCACAUCCCAUGUUAACUCUUACUGAUAUAAAAAAAUAAAAUUAAUGCUGAAAAUGAAUCUGUUAUAGUAACAAAUCCACUCAAGCUCAAGAGCACCAGUUUUGUACCAACUCCUCUCUGUGCGGAACAUGGAUUAUACAAGUAAAAGCCUCUGUCUCCGAGGAGCCCCAAAUGCAUGAAACUCACAGUGCAGGUUCCCACAAUUCCAGGAAACAGUUUUUUUUGUUGGAAAACUUUAAGAUUAAAUCUUUUUUUAAAAAAAAUAUUUAUUUAUUUUUGAGAGAGAGUGUGAGCAGGGGAGGGGCAGAGAGAGAGGGAGACACAAUCUGAAGCAGGUUCCAGGUUCUGAGCUGCCAGCACAGAGCCUGAUGCGGGGCUCGGACUCACAGACUGCAAGAUCAUGACCUGAGCCAAAGUCAGACGCUUAACCAACUGAGCCACCCAGGUGCUCCUAAGAUUAAAUCUUAAACUAUGAGGUGGAGACCUUACCUUUCUCUUACAGUGUGGUCCUUCAUGGAAAAUGAGUAAGUUUAUUGGAAGAACACUAGAGGGGAUUUUGCUAAUACUUGAGACUGAGAUCCACAUAAUACAUGCUUUGGAAGUAAAAGAAAGAGACUGGCCCCGAGUGCCGUCAGGUUGGCCUUUUAGGUGAAUUUAAUGCUCUUGAUUUUUAUUAUGCUGCUCUGCUUCCUCUGAAACCUACACUGGUUUAUUCCAACCAAUGUGGUCUGAAUUCCAUCCAACAUUUUAGUAAUAUUUAUCAGCGUUAAACUCAGUAUUGCUUGAUAAGUCAAAUUUGUUGUAAAUCACUUCCAGUUGUAUAAAUACGUUAUUUACUCAUAAUUGGUAAAAACUCCAUGCUGUCAUUGAGUCGACAUAUUCAUGUAAUUACCUAGGCUGGGAAUCUGUUUAAGUGUGAUUAUUCUGGAGAAAGAAAAAUCAAAAGAAUUAAAGUAUAAUUCUGUGAAGACUAUCAUCUUUGACAGUUAUAAAAGUAGACAUUUUUCAAAAAUGUGUUUCAUUUUACUGUAACUUAAAAAAAAUUUCACUUUCUUUUUAUAAAGUCCCUAUAAAUUGUCCAAAGUUUGGAUGGAUGUAUUUAAAUAUUUUAGUCAAAGCUUGGCAGCUGAUGAACUAAACCUAGUUUUAUUACCCAUUCCAAAUGACCCACCCUUUAGAUUGAGUUCAUGGGUUAUGCCACCAACCCCUAAAGUAACUGGUGAAAUGACUCAUCAUCAGGGGAAAGGCUAUGGCACAACUCCAGUUUGGAACAGAGACUGGCAGUUGAUUUAAGCUUGGGAAUAGAGGCAGAGAAGGAGCCAAAGUUUAAGCUGAAGCUGGAAUAAGGCUGUUCUAGUACUGAAACACAUCCUCCAGAUUCACUGGCUGUCCUCAAAUUGUGUAUUGAAUUCAAAAGUAAUGAGACCUCAGAUCUGGUACUUAUUUAAUGCUGAAACAUACUUAUGAUCUUGGUGAUGAGCAAUGGCCCUGCUGUUGUCUCUAAUGUUGGUCAUGGCAGCAGGUUGCUUUAGAUUGGGCUGUCACAAAGGUCAUGGAAAGAACUGAUGAAAAAGUUGGCAAAUUCUACUCUGGCAUGUGAAUCUGGUCUCAGGUGUCCCCUUGAGGACAUGAGCAGUGGGCACCCACUGUCUUAAAUCUACCUGAUCACAUAAUGCAUACUAGGUACAAAAUAUUUUGUUAAUAAAUAUUUAUUAAGCUCCUGUUAUGCACCAAGUAUGGUGCACUUUGUAUACAGGUAUAUAUAUAGUAGUGGCCUCCACAGACAUGAUGCCUGUAUCAUGAAUUUGAAGUAUAGGGUUUGUUGGAUUUAUUAAUUUCCUAAACUUACUUUUGUUUUUUUAGUUUGUUCUGACAUAAUGAUAACAAUAACAUCGAAACCUUUAAGAGUCACUGUUAGUAGAUCUAGAUAUUAAUUCUCUAUAUGUUCUCUUAGGACUUUUUAGUAUCAUUUAAGUCACUUCUGUUGCUGGCAGCACCACCCUUAGGGGUCUCACACUUCCUUAGAGAUCUGGUUGAUGACUAGAUAUCCCAAACACACAGGUACAAUUUAUUAAAGUACAUGUGAGCACCACUGUUACUCAUGAUUCAGUGUCCAGCUCUGAUAGAGCUUAAAUAUCCUGCACCUGAAACCUUACGAACUUUGAACAUCCAGAACAUCCACUGUCCAGACUAUCUUUCAGGCCACAGGGAGGAGCUUUUCCACUCCCCCCCAUCCCCUGUGUUCCUGAAACAAAAGGUGACUGAAUCUAAAUGUGGUGAGUUUGUGGAUUGUACUUCUAUUCUUUGGAGAUGGAUAUGGCUUCAUUUGUGUGGGAAAGGUUUUUUUCUCCAGCUUUAUUGAGCUAUAACUGACAUAUAAUAUUUAUAAGGUAUACAGUGUAUACCAUAAGUGAUGAACUUAUAUAUUGCAUUAUGAUUAUCACAGUAGCAUUAGCUAAUACCUCUAUCUCAUAUACAAGUGGAAAAAGCAUUUAGGUAAUUAGAUAAAUUAACUUCUUAAAUCUUUUCUUAGAAGGCAUGAAUGAAAUCAAUUCUUGUUAGCCAGUAGUACAAAACAUAUAUAUAUUUACCAGUUGUAAAAUUAUAUAUAUAUUUUUUUUCUUUUAGCUGUUUUAGCUGUCAAAACAUAUAUAUAUUUACCAGUUGUAAAAUUAUAUAUAUACAUAUAUAUUUUCUUUUAGCUGUUUUUGUGUUUCAGUUUGAUUCUGGGGUACUCACAAAUUAGCAUGGUAUUUUACAACAUUUGCAUGAGGCAACAGAAGUAUGUAAUAUUUAACAAUUCAUAUUUCACUUAAAUUUCUAUACAUGUAGGUAUACAUGUAAUAUCCCUAAAGCAUGAUGUCAGAUAUAAUUAGAUUAAUGCUGAGUGUUAGAAUCGCUAAUAGUUUCAUUUUUAUUAAAAUAUUUAAUGCAUUUAAUUAUAAUUUCCCAAAGUAAAAUUUCAGCAUAAUUUAAAUAUAUUUAAUAUUUUCAUAUGAAAUAUAAUUUGCACCUUGCCCUUCACAUUCAGUAGAUGUUGAAUACUUUAGAAGAAUAUUUUUUGAAAAUGUGCAUGGAUGAUAAUUUUAAUAUUUUUAUUUUUUAAAUUACCUUGAUUAACAUUUUUAUUAAAAAUAUUCAUAUUUUGUACACAUUUAUGAUUGCAUUUUAUUUUUAAUUCUUUUUAAAAAUUUAAAAAUUUAUUUUAUUUAAAAAAAUAUAUUUGUUUUGUUUUGAGAGAGAGAGGCAGAAAAAGAGGAAGACAGAGGAUCUGAAGCAGGCUCUGUGCUGUAGAUGCAAGGCCCAAUGCAGGGCUCGAACUCCCUGAGUGGAAGUCAGAUGCUUAAAUAACUGAGUGACCCAGGUAGAUACUAGGAGUACAAACAUGAAUAAAACAUGGCCUUGAUACUGAAAGAAUUCAUAGUCUAGAAAUAAUUAUACUUCAUCUCGCUCCUGGUGAACUGUACCCAUCUUUUUUUAGAUAUGAAAUCAAUGUAUCCCAGACCAGGCCACAUCCUGGCUACUCUCCCAAGUAAAUCACAGUGAAAAAAAGUGAACUCUGAAGUAUGCAAAACUAGUUGGAGGAAUCAAAUAAAUACAAAUUUGGUGUUUUAUAUUCAGUGUAGCCUUGAUUUUGGAAAAUAUAUGAAAAUUCUACAUAGGAGAGUUGCUAGCUAUUUAUUUAUUUAAUUUAUUUAUUUAUACCUUGGUUUUCUCACUGAAGAACCUAUUACAACUUUUCUAUUUUCACCAUAUAAAAUAAUAUAUUAAGUGCUUUCAAAGACGAUUAGUAUACUUAUCCUUCUCUAAAUCAGCAUCUAAAAAGUUAACAUGUCUCUAUCUGAGAAUUUUAAGACUAACAGCACUAUUGUAUGGACAACUGCAAAGAUGAUGUGAAUUAGUCAGUUUCAUUAAUUUGUUUUAGCAAGGGGUUAAGAGUCUUCCCAAACCAAUAAUUAAGAGAUUUCCAACUACUCUUGAGGUUUACAUUAACUGCUUUGGGGGCUAUCAGUUUUUAGUAGGUAUACUUGUUGAAAUGCCUAGAUGAGUAGAUUUGAUCUGGAAUGAUAGUUCAUAUAUAAUUCAGUAGGACCAGCAAAACUUCCCGUGUCCACUUUCCCAAGUGCCAACCACAUGUGUUUUUCCCUUACUACUCCAAUGUAAGCCUGAAUUCUAGACAUUAUGAAACAUGUUAGCCAGACCCCUACAGGCUUUUAGUAAACAGAAUUGAGUGUAAAUAAUAUUUAUGACUUCGUAGACUACUUGGCCGAAUCCACCUUAAAAGACAGUUUCAUUCUGCUUAUACAGCAAUGUUUCACCAUCUACAGUAGCACACAUGCACAUAUACAAAUUACACUUGGACCAAGCCAAAAGAAGAGACAAAAAUGUAAUUCACCCAGGAAAGAAAUGUAUAAAGGAAGGUGACUAAACUGAGACUUCAUACAACUGUUUAUUUGUCAUAAAACUAUCCGUGAGCUAAGAUAUAAGCAUAAGCAUUAAGUGAAUGACAGUUGUUUUAUUGUAUUUUCAACGUUUUUAGUUGUAUCUUAAAAAAUACCAGAUGCUGUUCACAUGAUGCCAAACAUAUGGCUUUUGCCUGUGCUCUUGUGAUCUGUAGUAGAUUGCUAUAAUGUACAGGGCAGGGAAAAAAAACCGAUUUACAGAUAGCCCUGGCCUGAGUGGCUUACAGCUGGAUCUAAUUUCACCGAACUGAUCGCCUCUCCCUCCAGCACCUUCUAUUUUAUCAAAUGCCACAUAUUGUUUUUUUGAAGUGGUUCUUGUUGUCCUAGUGAAUACCACAGAUGGAUAGCACACAGGACAUUUGGUUGUCUGCUUUCUGACUAAGGUCAGGACCUACUGUUGUUCAUGUUUGGGUGGAGGACGUAUUUCAUGGGACUGCCCAAGAAAUUUAAUGAGUUUCAGCUGUCUAAGAGAUAAUGUAUAAGACAUUGCUCACUUGGUUGACAUACUUAGAGGCCAUUAUAGUCAUCUGGGUUCUUAGGCACUAAUAUGGUUCCUCCCAAGUGUGUCUUUUCUUUGUAUCAGUUACUAAGUUGACAUAUCACCUGGAGAGAUGAUGAAAAGGAUAAGAAGAAGAAUGAAUAAAUGCUAAUAAUUACUCAAUUUAAUUGUGAUUGUCUAUAUACUUUUCUGUCUCUCCUACUAGAUUUUAAGCUUCUUGCGGGAAUAAAAUAUGUCUUGUUCAACAUUUAAUAGUCUGCACAUUAGCCCAAGGGCUGUACACAGUAGGGACUUAAGUAUUUUUUGAAUGAAUAGAUGAAAGAGCAAGCAUUCAAAGAGUUUCUGUAGAUAAUUAUGGAGGAAGAGGAUGAGUAGAAUAUGAAUGGUAAGAUUGUAGAUCUGUGUUUCCUAAUUUUUCUCUAAGCCCUCUCGUUUUAAGAUCCAUCUUUGUUUCUGCUUGUUAUAGGAUCUGUUUCUUUGUAUGUACAUUUGCUACAUUUUACCUAUCACUCCCUAACUGAUGGAUGCCAAGACUGACUCCAUAUCCCUUCCAACACAAAGACUGACUCCAUCUCCCUUCCAACACGGGAUAAUUUCCAGGUAUCUCUACUGCGCCAUGAUAUUAUGAUGUGGGACCAUAUGGGAAACAAUUGCUAUCCACACUUGCAGGUGGGGCUGGUUGUGUUUUAAAAUGUUACUGAAACCAUAGUUUCUGCCCCCUCCCCCACCCCCUUUUUUUAAUGGGAGACUUUUCCAUGAGGUUUCUACCUCCUUGGGCUUCAUUUAGGAAACCAGGCACAGAUUUUCCAAAACCACCUAUAGGGAUUCUCUAGUCUACCACUGCCUUCUCCAGUUAAGUCCACUGAGAGGAGAGUACAUUUCUUUUUGCUCUCUGAAACCCAGCCAUAUCCAACAUAUUCAAACUAGUUUACAUUGUCAGGGCAAUGAAAACUAUAUAUUACAGUUCUGUGUGUAUAGGACAGUCAUCUUCAUGGCUUAGCCUUUUGAGUGCUGUAACACCCCACUAGUAAAUAAAAAUUGGUUUCCCAUAUCUGUUCUUGCCUUCUUAUGAUCCAUUAUCUACAAUGUAGCUAGUUGUUCUUUAAAAAAAAAAUUAAGGACUUAUUAUUUUUUUCAAUUUGUCUUUACAAACUACACAUAACACAAAACUUGCCAUCUUAACACUUUUUAAGUGGAGAGUUCAGUGGUAUUAAAUACAUUCAUAAUGUUCUACAACCAUCACCACCAUCCAUCUUCAUAACAAUUUCAUCUUGUAAAACUAAAACUCCAUACCCUAUGUUUUCUUCUAAGAGUUUUAUAGUUUAGGUCUUACAUUUAGGUUCUUGAUCAUUUUAAAAUAAUUUUUGUAUAUAGUGUUAGCUAAGGGUUCAACUUCAUUCUUUUAUCUGUAGAUAUCCAGUUUUCUAAACACCAUUUGUUGAAAAGACUGUCCUUUAUCUAAUGAAUGCUUUUUGCACCACUGUAAAAAAUCAUUUGACCAAGAGAAGAUAACAGAGUAGGAGGAUCCCAAGCUCCCCUGUCCCAUGCAUACAACUAGUUAACACCCACAUCAGUUAAAUAAUGCAGAAAAUUACCUGAAGACUGGCAGAGCAUAUUCUUCACAGGUAGAUGUAGAGAAAAGUCCACACUGAAGAGGAUAGGAAGGGCAGAGUUGCAGUCGGGAGCCAAAUGAACCCACGGGGUAGUCCAUGAGAGGGAGGUACGUGAAAGGUGUUGGAGAAGGGAGAGGACCAGACCCCCACACCAGGCACUGAGGCACAAAGAGAUGGCACAACAACAACCCUGCUAGGAUACAGCAUAGAGUCAGCAAUUUGGAUAACACCUGGAGUAUAUAGGAAGGAGAUUUAUUUACUAACCUCAGAGCUUGUGCUGGAGGGGCAGAAAGUCUUGGGAGACUUCUUCAAGAACAAAAGAGCUGGCAGGAGACAUUUCCCUCUGCCACCUCCCACCUACAUACACAGACACCUGUGAGACCCAGCAUGACUUGAACACUCUCCACCUAGCUUGCUAACAACAUGCUCUGCCCCCAUGUGCUUCUGCAGAUCCACCCCCUCCAACCCAGCCACCUCUACAGUUUUACCAGGCAGCUAGAGGCUCCCUCACACAGAGGAUCAGCUCUGACCUUGCUAGCAAUGCACAUCCUACUUCCACAUUCCCCUACAGACCUGCUCCUUCUAAUACUCUCCUGGCUAGAGCUCAUCCAAAGUCCCACAAGCCUGGCAGUGUGCCAGCACCCUAACAAGAGCCAGCACCACUCCGAAGUGACCCCUGCCCCAGGAAGAAGGGAAAAUAACCACACACACCAGACCAACUGUGGCCCCAGCAGUGAGCUGGGGGCAGUCAUCUGUUCUGACUGCAGCCCCACCCACCAGUGAAAACUUCUGAGGAGACAACACAGAGAAAGUGCCAUGUAGUUCAGUGCUACUGCAUCUCUGGCAAAUGCCUGAUCUCACCUCAAGCCCAAAGUGACCCCGGACUGGCCCAUUAACAACACAGGGACAAAAGAGGCAAAGAGAAUCAUUGCACACAGCUGGACUAAAGACAUAUGUGCUUCAGCCACAACAGUAGGGUGACACAUAGGAGACACUCUUGCAGUGCCAGUUUCUGGUGAACAGGGGACAUUGCACUUCAGGGUAGCACAGGAUCUCUUGUUCAUAGAGCCACUACUUUCGAGAGCAAGAGACCUGACUUUCCUAAGAAAGAAAUGUGGAAACAUAGUAACAGACACAGAAAAUUACACAAAAUGAGACAGAGGAGUAUGUCCCAAAUGAAAGAACAGGACAAACUCAUAGAAGAGAGCUAAAUAAAAGAAAGAUAAAUACUAUGCCUCAUGGAGAAUUUUAAGCAAUGGUCAUAAAGAUACUUAACUUGAGAAAAGAGUGCAGGACCUCAGUAAGACCCUUAAUAACGAGAAAACGUGAAAAAGAACCAAUCAGACUUGAAGAACUCAAUAACUAGUGUAAUAAAUAUACACUAGAGGUAAUAAAUAGUAGACUAGAGGAAGAAGAAUGGCUUAACGACCUAGAGGACAGAGUAAUGGAAAGCAAUCAAGCUCAAUAGGAAAAAUAAUAAGUAACGAACAUAGGAAACUCAGUGACAUCAUAAAGAGUUAUAGCAUUUACAUUAUAGGGAUCCCAAAAGGAAAAAAGAGAAAGGGGGGCAAAAAUUUUAUUUGAAGAAAUAAUACCUAAAAACUUUCUGAAUCUGGGGGAUGAAACAGAAAUCCAGAUCCAGCAGGCAAAGAGAGCCCCCAACAAGGGGGUCCACACCAAGACACAUAGUAAUUCAAAUGGGAAAAUGUAGUGAGAAAGAGAAUUUUUAAAGCAUCAAGAGAAAAUAAAGCAGUUACAUACAAGGGAAACCCCAUAAGGCUAUCAGCUGAUUUUUCAGCAGAAAUUUUUCAUGCCAGAAAGGAGUCAUAUGAUGUAUUCAAAGUGCUGAAGGAAAAAAAAACCCUACAGCCAGGAAUACUCUAUUCAGCAAGGCUAUUUUUCAGAAUAGAAGGAGAGAUAAAGAAUUGCCCAGAAAAACAAAAGGUAAAGGAAUUCAUGACCACUAAACCAGCUCUACAAGAAAUGUUAAAAGGGAUUCUUUCAAUGGAAUGGAAAGACUGUAAGUAGGAGUAAGAAAAGUUGGAAGCACAAAAACAGUAAAAUGAAGCAUAUCUAUAAAGAUGAGUCAAGGUAUUUACAAAAUAAAAGGAUGUAAAUUAUGACACCAUAAACCUAAAACGUGGGGGUUGGGGAAGAGGAGAAAAGAAUCAGUUCAAACUUAAUGCCCAUCAAUUUAGUAUAGAUUGGUUAUGCACAAGAUGUUAUACAUAAAUCUAAUAGUAACCACAAGUCAAAAACAAGUAAUAAAUAUCAAAAAAUAAAGAGAAAGAAACCCAAGUAUAUCAGUAAAGAAAGCCAGAAAGCCAUGAGAGAAGAGAGCAAUAAAAGAAAGAGAACUAUGAAAACAACCAUAAAACAAAUAAAAAGAUGGCAAUAACUAUAUACCUAUCAAUAAUGACUUUGAAUGUAAAUGGACUAACUGCUCCAUUCAAAAGACGUAAGGUGAUGGAAUAGAUAGAAAAGCAAGACCCAUCUGUACGUUGCCUACAAGAAACUCAUUUCACACCUAAAGACACAUGCAGAUUGAAAGUGAAAGGAUGGAAAAUAAUUUAUCAUGCAAAUGGCAGUGGAAAGAAAGCUAGGGGGUCAAUAUUUAUAUUGGGCAAAAUAGACUGUAAAGCAAAGAGUAACAAGAGACAAAGAAGAAUAAACCAACGAGAUAAUGCAACAAUUAUAAAUAUUUAUGAACCCAACAUGAAAGCACCCAAAUAUGUAAAGCAGCUAAUAACAAACAUUAAAGAAGUAAUUAAUAGUAAUACAAUAAUAGUAGGGGACUUUAACUCUCCACUUACAUCAAUAGAUAGAUCAUCCAAAUAGAAAAUCAACAAGGAAACAGUGGCUUUGAAUGACACAUUGGACCAGAUGGAUCUAGCAGAUAUAUUCAGAACAUUCCAUCCUAAAACAGCAAAAUAUACAUUCUUUUCAAGUGCACAUGGAACAUUCUCCAGAAUAGAUCAUAUGUUAUGCCACAAAACAAAUAUGAAUGAAUUUAAAAAGAUUGAAGUCAUACCAUGCAUCUUUUCCAACCACAGUGCUAUAAACUAGAAAUCAACCAAAAGAAAAAAAUCUGGAAAAAACACAAAUACAUGGAGGUUAAAUAACAUGCUACUAAACAAUGAGUGAAUGGGUCAACAAAGAAAUCAAAGAAGAAAUGAAAAAAAAAUACAUGGAGACAAAUGAAAAUGAAAACACAAUAGUCCAAAAUCUUAGGUAUGCAAUAAAAACUGUUCUAAGAGGCAAGUUUACACUAAAGGAAGUUUACAGUCCUGCCUCAAGAAGCAAGAAAAAUCUCAAAUAAACAACCUAACCUUACACCUACAGGAGCUAGAAAAAGAAAAAAAACAAAACCCAAAACCAGUUAAGGAAGGAAAUAAUAACAAUUAGAACAGAAAGAAAUGAAAUAGAAACUAAACAACAACAGUAAAAACCCCACAAUAGAACAGAUCAAUGAAAUCAGGAGUUUUUUUUUUUUUUUUAAGUUCAUUUACUUAUUUUG